GUGGCUGUAGCUCAGUUGGUUAGAGCGCUUGACUGUGGCUCAAGAAGUCGGGAGUUCGAAUCUCCUCAGCCACCCCA
rnacentral:tRNA from 1 species